GGCUGGUCCGAAGGUAGUGAGUUAUUUCAAUUGAUUGUUCACAGUCAGUGCAGAUUGAACUCCUUGUUCUACUCUUUUCCGCCUUCUCACUACUGCACUUGACUCGUCUUAA
ensembl:misc_RNA Y_RNA Y RNA